UACCUUGAGCGGUGUUGUAGUUC
rnacentral:misc_RNA from 1 species